rnacentral:rRNA from 1 species
UACGAGGGGAGCUAGCGUUGUUCGGAAUUACUGGGCGUAAAGCGCGCGUAGGCGGUUUUUUAAGUCAGAGGUGAAAGCCCGGGGCUCAACCCCGGAAUUGCCUUUGAAACUGGAAAACUAGAAUCUUGGAGAGGUCAGUGGAAUUCCGAGUGUAGAGGUGAAAUUCGUAGAUAUUCGGAAGAACACCAGUGGCGAAGGCGACUGACUGGACAAGUAUUGACGCUGAGGUGCGAAAGCGUGGGGAGCAAACAGG